rnacentral:rRNA from 1 species
UAGGGAAUCUUCGGCAAUGGGGGGAACCCUGACCGAGCAACGCCGCGUGAGUGAAGAAGGUUUUCGGAUCGUAAAGCUCUGUUGUUAAGGAAGAACGAGUGUGAGAAUGGAAAGUUCAUACUGUGACGGUACUUAACCAGAAAGGGACGGCUAACUACGUGCCAGCAGCCGCGGUAAUACGUAGGUCCCGAGCGUUGUCCGGAUUUAUUGGGCGUAAAGCGAGCGCAGGCGGUUAGAUAAGUCUGAAGUUAAAGGCAGUGGCUCAACCAUUGUAGGCUUUGGAAACUGAUAAACUUGAGUAGUGGAGAGGAAAGUGGAAUUCCUAGUGUAGUGGUGAAAUACGUAGAUAUUAGGAGGAAUACCAGUAGCGAAGGCGACUUUCUGGACACAAACUGACGCUGAGGUACGAAAGCGUGGGGAGCAAACAGG